AUACGGAGGAUGCGAGCGUUAUCCGGAUUUAUUGGGUUUAAAGGGUGCGUAGGCUGUGCGUUAAGUCAGGGGUGAAAUGCCGUCGCUCAACGACGGAGCUGCCCUUGAUACUGGCGUGCUGGAGUACGGAUGCCGUUGGAGGAAUGAGUGGUGUAGCGGUGAAAUGCUUAGAUAUCACUCAGAACACCGAUUGCGAAGGCAUCUGACGAAUCCGUCACUGACGCUGAGGCACGAAAGCGUGGGGAUAGAACAGGAUUAGAUACCCUGGUAUUCCACGCAGUAAACGAUGAUAACUAACCGCUGGUGCGCAAGUAUCAGUGGCCAAGCGAAAGCGAUAAGUUAUCCACCUGGGGAGUACGACCGCAAGGUUGAAACUCAAAUGAAUUGGCGGGG
rnacentral:rRNA from 1 species